rnacentral:rRNA from 1 species
UACAGAGGGUGCAAGCGUCGUUCGGAAUUAUUGGGCGUAAAGCGCGUGUAGGCGGCUUUGCAAGUCGGGUGUGAAAGCCCUCAGCUCAACUGAGGAAGUGCGCCCGAAACUGCAGAGCUUGAGUGCCGGAGAGGGUGGCGGAAUUCCCCAAGUAGAGGUGAAAUUCGUAGAUAUGGGGAGGAACACCGGUGGCGAAGGCGGCCACCUGGACGGUAACUGACGCUGAGACGCGAAAGCGUGGGGAGCAAACAGG